rnacentral:misc_RNA from 1 species
AAACACCUGAAUAUAUGAACUUUAACAUUAUGUUCUAGUCAUCCAUGAGCAGAAGCAGUUAAGCAAUAAUUUUUUAUACAACUAUAACUAGAAAUUUGAAAAGUACCAUCAAAAGGCAAUCAUUAUAAUGCCAUUGAAUUCAAAAUUGAAUUAACUGAACAAACUAAAUUAUGCCACAAAAUCAAAAAAUUAAAUUAAGGAAAAAAAAAAAGAAAAAGAAUAAUCAGGUUAAAUAGAAUAAGAAUAUAAUAAACCUAUAAUUCUUUACUUAUGAAACAAUUAAUUGCCACUCCUACUACACAAAUCUAAAAGCUUAUACCUUCACAUUCUUCCAACUGAGGAUUUCAGAAUAAAUAUCCAAAACUUUUAUUCCUGUCGGUCAUGACCUUCUAUUUCACAGCGGCAUUUUCAACUAGCAGUUGAUUCCACACUGCUCAACGUCUGGGCCAGUAACCUGGGUUGUAAAAGGAUCAAUACGGACCCAGAGUAAGGAGAAGAUAGAUGCAAGGAGAAUUGACCAUACAACAACAAUUGUAGGUGUCCGGUUCUGCCGUCCCAUCAAACCCUUAAGGAAGGGAUACAGAUGAAUAAUCACCCAGAAAGCAAAGAAUAGCUUGCCAAAGAGAGGACCCCAAGAUUGAUAUCCACUAUUAAUGGCAUAGGAAAUUCCAGCAACUACUCCAACCAGAUUAAUUAUAAGGAGAGUGGUUGGUGGGAUGAGAAGAGUAGUCCAUUUAAACAAAUAAAGCUCAGCAAAAUCUCCAUCUUCAUCAGAUGCUUUGGAAGUGACAGUAAAAUUAGUAUCAAUUCCAGCAAGAACUUUCAGCAGGCCUUGGAAAACGGCAAAAAGGUGAGCUGACACUCCUCCAAUAACCCAAAAUUGUUCAUUUCUCCACCACUCAUCAAUUCCAACACCACUCCAUCUCAUUUCUAAAAUACCAGUAGCAAAGAUUGAAAGAAAGAGGGAUAUGAACCAGAUACUGGCAAUGUUACUGAUCUGUGGAAUAAUGAACUUCCCAGUAAGAAGGCAGACAGCUGGCAAUGUACAAUAGGCAAGAAGAGGAAUGGACGUGACAGGAUAAAUUGUGGUAUUGACAUAAGCAAAUCUCUCAAGCCAUUUUAGCCUUCCACCAUAGCCAUACCAUAUGGGGCAGUGGCGGCUAAGAAGAAUUUCAACUGAACCUAAAGCCCACCUAAGCACUUGAUUUAGACGAUCAGAAAGGUUGAUAGGAGCAGAUCCUUUAAAGGCCGCAAGCUGAGGCACGCAAUAGAUUGAUCUCCAACCACGGGCAUGCAUCUUGAAUCCUGUAAGGAUAUCUUCUGUAACAGAACCGUAUAUCCAUCCUAUUUCACUUCCCCAGUCUGUCUUGUCCUCAUAUCCACAGCUAAUGACAUGAAUGGCUUCUUUGAGGAGAGAUUCUGGGGUGGCAGACUCAGGAACACCACCAUUCUCCAUAAGCGUUGAAGCUACAAAUACAGCUGAUUGACCAAACCUUUUUUCAAGUGUCAUUUGUGACAUGAGCAGUGACUUCUCAUCAUCAAAUCCAGCACCUUCAACCCCUUCUUCUAUAUCUUCCAAACUGAACACUGGCACGGUAGGGUCAAUGUGCUUGCUUGAUUUUUUCUUACUAGAGUUCUUUUUGCCUGAGCUAGAAGUCUUCUUCCAAGAUCCACCAAAGCAUGAAGAUAACACUCCUGGUUUCUUAUGCUUAGGCUUGAGAGGAGGUUCAUAGCCAUACAAAGCUGUUCUAUUGAAUACACAACCUGUACCCACAUACACAGGACCUUGGAUGCCGUCCAAUCCUCUUAAAUUUAUAUCAAAGAAAACAGUGUUACGGUUGGCAUAUCGAUCAUUCUUAUCAAUCCCAUCAAAUCUCUGGGGAAACUGGACAUAACAAACAGAUCUUCCAAGGUUAGGAUCCAUUAGAAAACACAUAGCUUCUCUCAGUGCCCUGCUGUUGUUUAUGUAAUGAUCACAAUCGAGAUUUAACAAGAAGGGCCCAUUGGUAAGAACUGCCGAAACACGCACAAGUGCAUUCAUGGCACCAGCCUUUUUGUGAUGCUGAAAACCAGGACGCUUCUCACGAGAUACAUAUACCAGUCGUGGAAGUUCAUUACCCUCACUGUCAAAUCCUCCACUAUGGCCCAAGAAAACCUGGAUCAUUCCUGGAUGAUCUCUGGUGUUAUUGCCGGGCCAAGGUGUACCAUCUUGCAUCACCCAUCCUUCCUCAGGAACCUUCUGUGCCUUUGCGACAAGCCCAUUGAUUCGAACUUUAAAUUCUUCAUACUCUCUCUUCAUAGAUCUGCGGUCUUUAACAAAUGUUGGUUGGACCUUAUCUUUUAAGUAGUCAAUCUUCUGUGCAAAGUACCAUUCUGGAGCUCGUGGUUCAAUGCUGUAUUUCUUGCAGAAAGGAACCCAUUUUCUAGCGAAUUCAGAUGUUUCAGACAGGGAUUCAAAGGUCAACAUAGCAGCUCCAUCAUCAGAAACAUAGCAAGAAACCUUGUCAACAGGGUAGUCAACAGCAAGAAUAGAGAGGACUGUAUUGGCUGUGACAAGUGGAGGUUCCUUUAAAGGAUCCACUGUACUGACAAAAAUGUCGACAGCAGCCAGCUGAGAUGGCUCUCCUUCUUUCUCAUAUCUAAGAGCUAGCCGGUCAAGAUAUGUCUCACGGUUUACAGGAAGCCAUUUAGGGAACUGAUCCAAUAUCCAUGAUAUUGCAAACCAUAUCUCACAGAUAACAGAUAUUAACCACAAAGAAUAAGCAUCCCUCACCGGAUUUGUUAUCCGGUAGUGCAAAAAAAUGCAAAGAAUAAUAAGCCGCAAAACAAUAACCAUCCUGUAAGGGUUAAUCCUAGAGGAAGGAAUAGAAACCUUCCUUGAGAGAGGCUGGCGGGUUUCAUCAUUCAAUAAAGAAUCAUCCAUGAGCACAUCGGUGCUGGCAUCAAAAUCUCCACCACCUCUGCCUUCAGAUGGUGCAUUACUAACACUCAUUGGAGCAGGACUCUUCUCUGGCUUCAUCUUCCAACCAUCAAUCCUCUCCUUCCAGGCAACAUUACCAAACCCUGACAAGCCAGACUCCCUUGCAGGAUCUCCAACCCUGAUAUUAACUGCAAACAAGUCCAGUGACAAAAUCAAAUUAACAUGUUGAAUGACUGAUAGAAUUUUUAGUACACCCUUACCUCUGCUGCCACUUUCAAGAGAAGCCAUUGAGAAACGCUCAGGAGAUGCAGCUGACAAGUCCCCAGAAAUCGAGCGUCUGCCAACCAGAUAAGGAAUAUGAUUAAGAGAAACCUCUUUAUCAUAGUUCGUAGGUGGAACAUAAUCUUUUCGACCAGAACCUGCAUCCCAACCCAGCAUGUGCUCUAUCCUAUGCUUCUCUUCUUGAAUCCCUGAAGCAUGAUGAUUUGACUUAUUUUCCACAUCACUAAAAUCGGCAUCUUCCACUUCCUCCCCACGAAUUGGAGGGCUACCUUUAUGCCUCUUGUAUUUGGUUUUGCAUUGGGGACAAGACUGAUUACCAUCUUUCCUCUCAUACUCAUAACAUGGACGGCAAACAGGAAAUGCACAAACAUGACAAGCAACAAAGGGUUCGCCAUCCAUGGUCCUGCCAAUAUCAUCACUGCAGAUCUGGCAGACCUGGGUUGCAGUUUGUUUUACAUUUUUGGUCCCUGCUGCAUCUCCAUCCAUAUCCAUUGCCUUCUCAACCAAUGAAAACAGAUUCUGGUCCAAUCCUCAGCUCAAAUCACACUUCAAGAAAGCUACAAAUCUGAAGACCUCAUUAAUACACCAAAACUGCAGCACAAAACCCACUAAAAAUCACAAUCUUAAUUGAAGUAUGGGAGAAAUGUAGCCAUCAUCAAAGAUUUUCAAGCCAACCAACACCAAAACCAAACAAAUCCCAACAACAGUGAAAAGCUUAGCAGUCACACUCACCGACACCAAUGAAAGAAAGAGAGACAGAGAUGGACCGGACCUAGAUCCACACUCUUU